ACUCAAGAUGCCAAUGUAGCAGAGAUGACGCUCUACAGCUCCAGCUGAUAGACACACUUCCUCAUCCGACUGCAGAAAACACUCUUUACAGUACAGUGUUCAUGUAUUACUGCAAUGCUGCCAAUUGAGAUGUUAUGGAGCAACCUGAAAAUACAUUUGGUUAGUGCUGUUGCAAUUCAUUAUAUUUACAUACAAAACAUUUAAAAAGUGCAAAAUUGUACCUUCAAAGGUGAUACUGAGGUGGCCCAAAUGCAAUUUUUGCACAUUUUAUUCUGCGUAAUAUGAGCACUGUAAUGUAAAGUGUUACCCUAUGUUAAGAUUUUUACAUGAAUGACAGGUUCCAUUAGUCAAGACUGAUGAUUAUCACCAUGACUAAUGGUCCUUUCCCCCCCAAAAUUACUUUCAUGAACGGACAUUUACGCUCAGCCAUCACUGUCUAAUUGAAGUUCAAACAGAACAGCAUGGAAGGAAACACAAACAGCAGCUGACAGCGUGUUGCGAUUGACUGACAUGAUUAUUGCUGUUAUUAAGUGCUUGUUUUACAACUGCCUCACAUCAACACGUGUUUUAGGAAGUAGUAACUUGAAAACGGGUAAUUUUGCAAUCAUAAUUCAUACACCAGCACAACAAAACAGAGUUGCAAUGCAGUUUGUUUAAGGAUGCAGGAAAGAAACGUAAAAUGUAAAAGAUACCAAAGGACUACAAUUAUGAAUAUUAAGGGACUUUCUACUUUUCUAUAUCCCAGCCAGACGCAAAUACCUUCAUCAGUUCAUUUUCUAAGGAAGUUUGUUUCCACCAUGAGAUUAAAAAAUAAAAAAGGUAAUUGCAAAUUUUUCUUCUCACAAUUCUACCUUUUUUCUCUUAAUUGAGAGAGAAAUUUGCAAUUGUGAGGAAAAAAGUAAAAAUUCAAGAGUUCAUAUCGCGUAAUUCUGCCUUCUCAGAAUUGAGAGGGAAAAAGUCUGAAUUGUGAGAUAACCUUAAAAAGUGGAGAAAAAAAAAAAUAAUUGCAGGAUGUAAACUCAGAAUUCAGAGAAAAAAAGUCAGAAUUGUGAGAUAUAAAUCACAUUGUGAAAUGAAAAACUUGCAAUUACCUUUUAGAUAUAAACUCAGAAUUCUGACUUUUUCCUCGCAAUUCUGAGAUUUUGUUUAUCCCACGACAGAAAUAAGCUUCCUCAAUUUUCAGCUCAGCUCACCCAUCAUGCAUUUAUAACCACAAUCAAUAUAAUAAGGCCUCACAAAGUGUUUAUUUUACUGUCUUUCUGAAAGGUAUCGGCCAGAAGAAUUCUUGAUUGUGUUUCAAAAUUAGAUUUGCUUUUAUUGUUUGUUUGCAUGUUAUUUUAUUUUUAUACUACAGUAUAUCUGAGUGAUUUCCUGUAUUUGAAUUUUACACUAGACUCAGUGUAUAAGUCUGUAGACAUUAUCUUUUGUAUCAGGAGUGUUAACUGUACAAAUCAAAUAAAAAUGUAAAAAAAAAAAAAAAAAA